AUUGAACGCUGGCGGCAUGCCUUACACAUGCAAGUCGAACGGUAACGGGCCUUCGGGUGCCGUCGAGUGGCGAACGGGUGAGUGAUACAUCGGAACGUGCCCGAUCGUGGGGGAUAACGCUGCGACAGCUUUGCUAAUACCGCAUACGAUCUACGGAUGAAAGCAGGGGACCGCAAGGCCUUGCGCGGACGGAGCGGCCGAUGGCCGAUUAGGUAGUUGGUGGGAUAAAAGCUUACCAAGCCGACGGUCUGUAGCUGGUCUGAGAGGAUGAUCAGCCACACUGGGACUGAGAAACGGCCCAGACUCCUACGGGAGGCAGCAGUGGGGAAUUUUGGACAAUGGGCGCAAGCCUGAUCCAGCCAUGCCGCGUGCAGGAUGAAGGACUUCGGGUUGGAAACUGCUUUUGUACGGAACGAAAAGCCUUCUUUUAAUACAGGAGGGUAAUGACGGUACCGUAAGAAUAAGCACCGGCUAACUACGUG
rnacentral:rRNA from 1 species